rnacentral:lncRNA from 1 species
AUAGACUUGAGUAUAAAUGUAAGCCGACAUCAGGUUGAUAGUAAUGAUGAAGAUGAGUAGAUAGGACCAGAAAUUGGCAACAAAACGUGGAGCUCACUCGGACUCACUCAAUAAAUAUAUUUUGCGCUUAGGGCUCACUCGGACUCAGGCUCACCAAUAUUUUCCUCAACCGGACUCACUUGGACUCAAACUCACCAAAAUAUUACUCACCCGGAUUCAUUCAGACUCAUACUUGUGGCCCGAUUUGAGUCUGAGUGAGUCGAUUCAUGAGUGACUUUGCCAACCUAUGGUGGGGGGUCAAGUGGACGGUUGUAUUUCAAGGUGAAAGUGUUAAAUGCCUCAUCAAAUGGGAAAAGUGACUGUCUGCAGUGGCAGCAACAAGAACAAUGCGAAUAGCCACGUGAUCAUAAAUUAAGGCUUUAUGACAUUGUCAUAAUGUUGCAGAUUAGCAGUAUUUGCGACGUCAUAUAAGAUGACAUUACAUGACGACAUAACAUGAAAUUAUCACAUGGUCAAAAGUGUGCUAAUCCUGCAAGCAGUGCAAAAAUACAUUAGGUGCAGAAAGCUUUCAGGUGGUGGGGGCAAGGAUCAAUACAUCGGCUGUGCAGAAAAUGACGGCUGCACAAUUAAUCCCAAGGUUACCAACACAGUCAGUGACAUUGCCUCUCUCAGACCCUGAAUCUUUUCUGCCCUUUCACCAGAUGUUGUGCCAGAAAUACAUACUAUGUUGCACAUUACACUUUUUUUGUAUUAGAAAGUGAUACCAAUAAGACAUAUUUGCAAGAAAAUAAAGCAUGUAUAUGGAUAGAGGUACAUAAUAGCGUGAUGCACUUAACGAAGUGCCAGUGGGGAAAAUAAUAAGGUAAAUAAUAAAAGAAAGAGAGUUUAGCAUAGUUUAUCGAAGGCAAGUGGAGGAGGGAGAUGAGUUGGAGGUUGCAGACAUGCUAGGGAAGGCCACCAGCUACACUGUUUCCCAACUCAUCACAACACUGGUGCGUAGCUGCCCCAAUUUUUUUUUUUUAAGACACAGGGUGAGGUAAAUUUCUUUUAUUAUUGAAAUUUGGUUUUUCUCUCUUUUUUUUGCUUCUGUGAAAUAAGGCCUUCCUUAACAAUGUCCAGUGCCCCACACAUUUUACCGCAUCUUGAUUGAGCCAAAAUCACAAGGUAUCCGAGACCAGCUGGCGAGCAGCCGCACCCCCUUAGGUCGUGUAGAAGCUGAGCUUUCUGCCUCAAUCGAAUUUUUUAAAAAACAAUACUGGUGGUUUCUCUGAGCUUAGCAGGUUUUUAAAGUCAGUCUGGCUACCUAAAGGCACAUGGUACAGAUUUUUUAAUACUCGCGGCAUUUACCAAGUCCACUUGCCUUGAGUGUGAGACAUGGUUCUGUGCACUUAUCUUGAGUUUAUUUGCACCUUUGUUGAUUUUGUUGCAACGGCAAAAGAUAUGCUCGUGUUGACAAAGUCACCGUUUGGAGAGCGUAGUAUAAUUGGAGAUCUACACGGUUCAGCUACUAACAGAACGAGACCGGGAGCAUUCGUGCAAGCAAGCUGAAGACCGUGUCGCCACAAGGACAAAAUGUUACCUGUAAUGACAAUGGCUGUGCUUUGAUUGAUCAUUGCUCAUUCAUUGGCGCAUAUUUCAAGUCUCCCGAAAAGGAGAAGGGUGCGCUUGCUCAGGCUGACCACCAAAACAGUGUGAAUCUGGGUCCUUAAGGAGCUUGAACACCAUCAGGUGCCAAUGCUCUGCUCAUUGUGGACAAGUACUGCGACGAGGACAGCACCUGCCUUCGUGCAAUAUUUCUGGAUGCUUCUUCAUUGUGACUAAUGUGAAACUAUUGUGCAAUUUAACCUUUGUUUACUUCACUAAAAUAAUAAAUGAACCCAACAAUUACAAGAGCAAGCUUGGAAGUGUUGAGACUUCAUAUUACUUUGACUAAAAAAUAAGAAAAAUAUAAUUUUUUAAUGCAGGAA